rnacentral:rRNA from 1 species
UGGGGAAUCUUGCACAAUGGGGGAAACCCUGAUGCAGCGACGCCGCGUGAACGAUGAAGCCCUUCGGGGUGUAAAGUUCUUUCGACAGGAACGAUAAUGACGGUACCUGGAGAAGAAGCUGCGGCUAACUACGUGCCAGCAGCCGCGGUAAUACGUAGGCAGCGAGCGUUGUUCGGAGUUACUGGGCGUAAAGAGUGCGUAGGCGGCGAGCCAAGUUUGGUGUGAAAUCUCCCGGCUUAACCGGGAGGGUGCGCCGAAAACUGGUUGGCUGGAGUAUGGGAGAGGAAAGCGGAAUUCCUGGUGUAGCGGUGAAAUGCGUAGAUAUCAGGAGGAACACCUGCGGUGUAGACAGCUUUCUGGACCAAAACUGACGCUGAGGCACGAAAGCGUGGGUAGCAAA